UAUCACAGGCAUCAGCCUAAUGAGCUUUGAAAAAUACCAUGUUAUUAUUUCUGAGAAACCAAGCAACCUGUAUGGCUGACAAGUCAUUAGAGGUUUCUUAAAUCUAGACAAUCAAGACAACAAUUAAUCACAAGGUAUAAUCACCCUGAAAAUUUAACAAUCAGGCAUCCUUGGAACUGAAGCCCAAGAAUGGGCUCCUCUGUCUUCCAUGCAGUUCAUUGGGAAGAGCCAG
rnacentral:lncRNA from 1 species